rnacentral:rRNA from 1 species
AGGGAUGCUACCUGGUUGAUCCUGCCAGUAG